rnacentral:rRNA from 1 species
GUCGAGCAAACGAAUCAAAACUUUCAACAACGGAUCUCUUGGUUCCGGCAUCGAUGAAGAACGCAGCGAAAUGCGAUAAGUAAUGUGAAUUGCAGAACCUAGUGAAUCAUCGAAUCUUUGAACGCACAUUGCGCCCUUUGGUAUUCCGAAGGGCAUGCCCGUUCGAGCGUCGUUC